rnacentral:rRNA from 1 species
CCCUUAGAUGUUCUGGGCCGCACGCGCGCUACAAUGAUGAAUUCAACGAGUUUAUAGCCUUGGUUGAAAAGCCUGGGUAAUCUUUUGAACUUUCGUCGUGAUGGGGCUAGACCCUUGCAAUUAUUGGUCUCCAACGAGGAAUUCCUAGUAAACGCAAGUCAUCAGCUUGCAUUGAUUACGUCCCUGCCCUUUGUACACAUUGCCCGUCGCACCUACCGAUUGAAUGGUCCGGUGAAAUCUUCGGAUUGAGACUUUGUUUUCUUCACGGAAAACGCUGUUUUAAAAAGUUGAUUAAACCUUACCAUUUAGAGGAAGGUGAAGUCGUAACA